GGCGACUGCGGGGCGGGCGCGGGGGCGCGCGCCGCCGGCCACCGAACACGACUAGGUGGUCGUCGCGUGUAAAGCGUUGUCGAUGCUUGGUAGGUCUUAGGGCCGCACUAGUGUGUGAGUUAGCGCGCUCCAUGUACCCGCUGUCGUGAUGCAUUUGUUUCGAUUGUCAUAUUGUCGGUCGACUCCGCACGCCCCGACGCGGUUUGACGUCGCGAGAUCAAGAUAUCAAAAUCGACUGUCGAAUAAAUUUUUACGCCAGCCCACACGAACGCUUAGGCAAUCGACUGCCAGAGAUUUAUUGUCAAAAUUUCCCGUUAGUAACGCUUACCGAGCACACUCCGCGUAUCACUAUUUCACAAAUAAAAGAACCAGUCGCGAUAUCAUCGUCGACUAUAAAUUAUAUGAAGCUCGGAUGAAAAAUACGCAAUUCGGUCUUCGCUUAUUUAUCGCUUAGCUUGACUUACAUACGAAUACAUUAUGUUAAUAAGGAGAUGAUAUUAAAUAGUCGACUCGAUUGAUAUGAAUCGAUGGUAUCGAUGUGUUGCGUAACUGGUGCGGAAUAAGAUGUGAGCCUGCACUAUAUCGAGGAUAGAACCAUUAGAAAGCGUACAGUUAUUGUCCAGACGACAUGGCGUUAGUUGUGAGGCUGUCGCUAUCUGUCGGGUGAUCUGCUAUCAUGUUCCAUCGGGACGGUGGCUGCUCCGCGCUAGGAAUAGGUCGAGUUCCCGCGUACUGUUCCGUGAUAUAUUGUUCCGCAUCUCCCUGUAUAAAUCUUGAACGCCUGCUGAGGUACACGGGACACGGCCGCCGCGCCGCAACUCCGAGCUUCAAAUGGAAUUGUGUUUUUAUUUAUCGUGCGAAUCGUGCCCCACUAUCGCUCACUCGAAAUCGCACUUUAUCUGCCAAAACGCGGUGUCGAACCGAGGUGGGUUUUACAGCUCUUUAUAGUUACUAUUUUUAUUUGUAUUAUUGUGAUGCCGAUUAUACGAUUAGGUAAAUACAGUAUGGAAUUAUUUGUGAUGGAAAGAUUGCCAAUAGUUCAUAUGUAGACGAGUUCAUAUCCUUAAAGUCUUUGAUAGCGAGCUGAUGUUAAAGCAGGAGGAGUGUGAAUGCACUGCGACACGGGACUUUCAUCUUAAUAUUAAUCUAGUAGGUAUUGUGGUGUAGAGUUUGUAAUACUCAAUGUUUUGACCAGACAUAACGUUAUACGAAUAUUGACUAAGAUUAUUGUAUCGCGUUCGUUCUCACUAUCAUCCGCUCAGGUCGCAGUGUACGUCGAAACAAAUUAUUGUAAUGUAAAUAUUAAGACUAAUAUAUGUGUACUUGUAACCGAAAUCUGAUGUACAACGUCUGUAUACGUCUUUGCAACGCAUAAUAGUGAUACAUUUACAGACUUACUUACAAUAUAUUUUGCUGGCGCGACGCAUUCGGCAAAUGUAUACUUUACCAUAAUUGUAUGUAUAUUUGUGAGAUAAUUGAAAAUUGAAGACGUACUUUCGUGCCUACCAAUUUUUUCUAUUAAUGUAUUAAACAUUGAAGUCCCUUGCGUCCCGCCAGAGAUCCUAUACGUAACUACAAAAGCUUUAGUAUGAAAAAAAAAAUAUUCCAUUUAUUAGUCGAUAGCUUAACUUAUUCUUAGAAACAUAGAUUACCUAUAGUCACUUAAAAUGACAUGAAUCAAAACUAGUUGUGCCCAGUAUACGAAUAGCUAAUUAAAUUUAAGUAAUAGAUAAUGUAAUUUAUUUUAAGAUACAGUAGUGGUAAUAUUUUUGGAUUCCUAUAAACAUAUACGUAAUUUUUUCUUCUGUAUAAUGUAGUUACGACGCGAUAGAUCGAGUAAAAUUUAAUCGAGAUUCUUUCGGCACUUUUAUUUUUAAUUAACGCCCUUCGAAGUGCCAAAUUGUUUUUUUUAUGAAACAUCGAUUCAUCUUAUUACCUCCUUAUAGUUCCUUUUUGACACGAUAAUGGUUUAUUGUGUUAUUUUAAACAACGAUCGUAAUGUCGUGUACUUUGCACUACUUAACUGAAAGAGUCUUGAUCUAAAUUUUAUUGAUGAACUUUUGUUACAUAUUGUAAAUAAUAAAUACUUAUUUAUAAAGCUUCUUAAUAAAUAAUCACAAAUUUAUUGUAUACUAUCCAGGGAAUUCGAAAUUCGUACACUUGUUUUAAUAUUUCACAAAUAUUUUGCGGCAUUUUCAAACUGAUAAGUUUACAGUUCAACGAAAUCGUUAAUUUAUUUUAAUUCGAAACGUGCUCAUGAAUGUAAUACGUAAAUUUUGUCCUUUACGAAGCAUUUGUCAUACGUAAAUAGGUAGGCCCAAUUUUAUUGUAAUGUAAAAUAAUUAUAAUAUAGUCAUAAAUGAAGAGAAAUACUUAAAACUCGAGGGAUUCUAGUGUAGAGAAUGAUUUAAAUAUUUGUGUUUCAUGAUUGUAACUGUGUGAAGAGUUAUGUAAUAUUAACUAUCAAUACCUAUUAUUAUGAAUGGAAACGAUAUUAUAAUUUUUUGUACAAUAUCGGCUAAAGUGCGAGAUGGAUCUGCAUUAAAUAAAAUUCUGUUACUGUACAA